rnacentral:rRNA from 1 species
GACGAACGCUGGCGGCGUGCUUAACACAUGCAAGUCGAACGGAAAGGCCCUGCUUUUGUGGGGUGCUCGAGUGGCGAACGGGUGAGUAACACGUGAGUAACCUGCCCUUGACUUUGGGAUAACUUCAGGAAACUGGGGCUAAUACCGGAUAGGAGCUCCUGCUGCAUGGUGGGGGUUGGAAAGUUUCGGCGGUUGGGGAUGGACUCGCGGCUUAUCCGCUUGUUGGUGGGGUAGUGGCAUACCAAGGCUUUGACGGGUAGCCGGCCUGAGAGGGUGACCGGCCACAUGGGGACUGAGAUACGGCCCAGACUCCUACGGGAGGCAGCAGUGGGGAGUAUUGCACAAUGGGCGGAAGCCUGAGGCAGCAACGCCGCGUGCGGAAUGACGGCCUUCGGGUUGUAAACCGCUUUCGCCUGUGACGAAGCGUGAGUGACGGUAAUGGGUAAAGAAGCACCGGCUAACUACGUG